UUGGUGACCAGCGGAGGGAUCAUUACCGAGUUUACAACUCCCAAACCCCAAUGUGAACGUUACCAAUCUGUUGCCUCGGCGGGAUUCUCUGCCCCGGGCGCGUCGCAGCCCCGGAUCCCAUGGCGCCCGCCGGAGGACCAACUCAAACUCUUUUUUCUCUCCGUCGCGGCUUCCGUCGCGGCUCUGUUUUACCUUUGCUCUGAGCCUUUCUCGGCGACCCUAGCGGGCGUCUCGAAAAUGAAUCAAAACUUUCAACAACGGAUCUCUUGGUUCUGGCAUCGAUGAAGAACGCAGCGAAAUGCGAUAAGUAAUGUGAAUUGCAGAAUUCAGUGAAUCAUCGAAUCUUUGAACGCACAUUGCGCCCGCCAGUAUUCUGGCGGGCAUGCCUGUCCGAGCGUCAUUUCAACCCUCGAACCCCUCCGGGGGGUCGGCGUUGGGGAUCGGCCCCUCACCGGGCCGCCCCCGAAAUACAGUGGCGGUCUCGCCGCAGCCUCUCCUGCGCAGUAGUUUGCACACUCGCACCGGGAGCGCGGCGCGGCCACAGCCGUAAAACACCCCAAACUCUGAAAUGUUGACCUCGGAUCAGGUAGGAAUACCCGCUGAACUUAAGCAUAUCAAUAAGGCGGA
rnacentral:rRNA from 1 species